UACGUAGGAUGCAAGCGUUGUCCGGAUUUACUGGGCGUAAAGCGCGCGCAGGCGGCACAUUAAGUAAGGUGUGAAAUAUCCCGGCUCAACCGGGAGGGUGCACUUUAGACUGAUGAGCUUGAGGUCGGUAGGGGGGGGUGGAAUUGCUGGUGUAGCGGUGAAAUGCGUAGAGAUCAGCAGGAACACCGGUGGCGAAGGCGGCCAUCUGGACCGGAACUGACGCUGAGGCGCGAAAGCUAGGGGAGCGAAUGGG
rnacentral:rRNA from 1 species